UGGAUGCCUUGGCACUAGAAGCCGAUGAAGGACGUUACUAACGACGAUAUGCUUUGGGGAGCUGUAAGUAAGCUUUGAUCCAGAGAUUUCCGAAUGGGGAAACCCAGCAUGAGUUAUGUCAUGUUAUCGAUAUGUGAAUACAUAGCAUAUCAGAAGGCACACCCGGAGAACUGAAACAUCUUAGUACCCGGAGGAAGAGAAAGAAAAUUCGAUUCCCUUAGUAGCGGCGAGCGAAACGGGAAGAGCCCAAACCAACAAGCUUGCUUGUUGGGGUUGUAGGACACUCUAUACGGAGUUACAAAGGACGACAUUAGACGAAUCAUCUGGAAAGAUGAAUCAAAGAAGGUAAUAAUCCUGUAGUCGAAAAUGUUGUCUCUCUUGAGUGGAUCCUGAGUACGACGGAGCACGUGAAAUUCCGUCGGAAUCUGGGAGGACCAUCUCCUAAGGCUAAAUACUCUCUAGUGACCGAUAGUGAACCAGUACCGUGAGGGAAAGGUGAAAAGCACCCCGGAAGGGGAGUGAAAUAGAACCUGAAACCGUGUGCUUACAAGUAGUCAGAGCCCGUUAAUGGGUGAUGGCGUGCCUUUUGUAGAAUGAACCGGCGAGUUACGAUUUGAUGCAAGGUUAAGCAGUAAAUGUGGAGCCGUAGCGAAAGCGAGUCUGAAUAGGGCGUUUAGUAUUUGGUCGUAGACCCGAAACCAGGUGAUCUACCCUUGGUCAGGUUGAAGUUCAGGUAACACUGAAUGGAGGACCGAACCGACUUACGUUGAAAAGUGAGCGGAUGAACUGAGGGUAGCGGAGAAAUUCCAAUCGAACCUGGAGAUAGCUGGUUCUCUCCGAAAUAGCUUUAGGGCUAGCCUCAAGUGAUGAUUAUUGGAGGUAGAGCACUGUUUGGACGAGGGGCCCCUCUCGGGUUACCGAAUUCAGACAAACUCCGAAUGCCAAUUAAUUUAACUUGGGAGUCAGAACAUGGGUGAUAAGGUCCGUGUUCGAAAGGGAAACAGCCCAGACCACCAGCUAAGGUCCCAAAAUAUAUGUUAAGUGGAAAAGGAUGUGGCGUUGCCCAGACAACUAGGAUGUUGGCUUAGAAGCAGCCAUCAUUUAAAGAGUGCGUAAUAGCUCACUAGUCGAGUGACACUGCGCCGAAAAUGUACCGGGGCUAAACAUAUUACCGAAGCUGUGGAUUGUCCUUUGGACAAUGGUAGGAGAGCGUUCUAAGGGCGUUGAAGCAUGAUCGUAAGGACAUGUGGAGCGCUUAGAAGUGAGAAUGCCGGUGUGAGUAGCGAAAGACGGGUGAGAAUCCCGUCCACCGAUUGACUAAGGUUUCCAGAGGAAGGCUCGUCCGCUCUGGGUUAGUCGGGUCCUAAGCUGAGGCCGACAGGCGUAGGCGAUGGAUAACAGGUUGAUAUUCCUGUACCACCUAUAAUCGUUUUAAUCGAUGGGGGGACGCAGUAGGAUAGGCGAAGCGUGCGAUUGGAUUGCACGUCUAAGCAGUAAGGCUGAGUAUUAGGCAAAUCCGGUACUCGUUAAGGCUGAGCUGUGAUGGGGAGAAGACAUUGUGUCUUCGAGUCGUUGAUUUCACACUGCCGAGAAAAGCCUCUAGAUAGAAAAUAGGUGCCCGUACCGCAAACCGACACAGGUAGUCAAGAUGAGAAUUCUAAGGUGAGCGAGCGAACUCUCGUUAAGGAACUCGGCAAAAUGACCCCGUAACUUCGGGAGAAGGGGUGCUCUUUAGGGUUAACGCCCAGAAGAGCCGCAGUGAAUAGGCCCAAGCGACUGUUUAUCAAAAACACAGGUCUCUGCUAAACCGUAAGGUGAUGUAUAGGGGCUGACGCCUGCCCGGUGCUGGAAGGUUAAGAGGAGUGGUUAGCUUCUGCGAAGCUACGAAUCGAAGCCCCAGUAAACGGCGGCCGUAACUAUAACGGUCCUAAGGUAGCGAAAUUCCUUGUCGGGUAAGUUCCGACCCGCACGAAAGGCGUAACGAUUUGGGCACUGUCUCAACGAGAGACUCGGUGAAAUCAUAGUACCUGUGAAGAUGCAGGUUACCCGCGACAGGACGGAAAGACCCCGUGGAGCUUUACUGUAGCCUGAUAUUGAAAUUCGGCACAGCUUGUACAGGAUAGGUAGGAGCCUUUGAAACGUGAGCGCUAGCUUACGUGGAGGCGCUGGUGGGAUACUACCCUAGCUGUGUUGGCUUUCUAACCCGCACCACUUAUCGUGGUGGGAGACAGUGUCAGGCGGGCAGUUUGACUGGGGCGGUCGCCUCCUAAAAGGUAACGGAGGCGCUCAAAGGUUCCCUCAGAAUGGUUGGAAAUCAUUCAUAGAGUGUAAAGGCAUAAGGGAGCUUGACUGCGAGACCUACAAGUCGAGCAGGGUCGAAAGACGGACUUAGUGAUCCGGUGGUUCCGCAUGGAAGGGCCAUCGCUCAACGGAUAAAAGCUACCCCGGGGAUAACAGGCUUAUCUCCCCCAAGAGUUCACAUCGACGGGGAGGUUUGGCACCUCGAUGUCGGCUCAUCGCAUCCUGGGGCUGUAGUCGGUCCCAAGGGUUGGGCUGUUCGCCCAUUAAAGCGGUACGCGAGCUGGGUUCAGAACGUCGUGAGACAGUUCGGUCCCUAUCCGUCGUGGGCGUAGGAAAUUUGAGAGGAGCUGUCCUUAGUACGAGAGGACCGGGAUGGACAUACCUCUGGUGUACCAGUUGUCGUGCCAACGGCAUAGCUGGGUAGCUAUGUGUGGACGGGAUAAGUGCUGAAAGCAUCUAAGCAUGAAGCCCCCCUCAAGAUGAGAUUUCCCAACUUCGGUUAUAAGAUCCCUCAAAGAUGAUGAGGUUAAUAGGUUCGAGGUGGAAGCAUGGUGACAUGUGGAGCUGACGAAUACUAAUCGAUCGAAGACUUAAUCAA
rnacentral:rRNA from 1 species